CAGCCGCCGCGGUAAUACAGAGGGUGCGAGCGUUAAUCGGAUUUACUGGGCGUAAAGCGCGCGUAGGUGGUUUGUUAAGUUGGAUGUGAAAGCCCCGGGCUCAACCUGGGAACUGCAUCCAAAACUGGCAAGCUAGAGUACGGUAGAGGGUGGUGGAAUUUCCUGUGUAGCGGUGAAAUGCGUAGAUAUAGGAAGGAACACCAGUGGCGAAGGCGACCACCUGGACUGAUACUGACACUGAGGUGCGAAAGCGUGGGGAGCAAACAGGAUUAGAUACCCAGUAGUCCCUGUCUCUUAUACA
rnacentral:rRNA from 1 species